GCUAGUUGAACCAUGAAAUAGGUAAAGUCUACCUUAAAGGCAGAUGCUGACAGCAGCAGUGAUGUAGAUUUGGAAAAUCACUAAAAAUAGUAGGAAUGGAAUUAAAUAGUGAAUAAAUUAUGUAAACAAACCUUGAUGAAUCUACUUUCAUAGGAAAGUAACGAAACAAUCAUGCGGACAGUAUGUUAAGAGAUAUUCAGGUUCUCGUGAG
rnacentral:lncRNA from 1 species